rnacentral:rRNA from 1 species
AGGGGAAUUUUGGACAAUGGGGGAAACCCUGAUCCAGCCAUCCCGCGUGUGCGAUGAAGGCCUUCGGGUCGUAAAGCACUUUUGGCAGGAAAGAAACGUCAUGGGUUAAUACCCCGUGAAACUGACGGUACCUGCAGAAUAAGCACCGGCUAACUACGUGCCAGCAGCCGCGGUAAUACGUAGGGUGCAAGCGUUAAUCGGAAUUACUGGGCGUAAAGCGUGCGCAGGCGGUUCGGAAAGAAAGAUGUGAAAUCCCAGAGCUCAACUUUGGAACUGCAUUUUUAACUACCGGGCUAGAGUGUGUCAGAGUGAGGUGGAAUUCCGAGUGUAGCAAUGAAAUGCGUAGAUAUGCAGAGGAACACCGAUGGCGAAGGCAGCCUCCUGGGAUAACACUGACGCUCAUGAACGAUAGCGUGGGGAGCAAACAGG